UAAUGUUUUUUGUUGUCAAAAAUAGUUCUCGAAGGAAAAACUAAUUGCCCAAAUCCAAUUGGAAUGUUGAUCAAAAAAAAAAACGAAGAAGAAAAAGCAAAUACACAAUAAAAUAUCUGGGUAAAAAUCAAUAUAGUAGCCCAAAACAAUGAAAUAAGGUCAAAGCCCAAACCACUCAGUUGUAAUAAGUCAAAACCGAAGACCAAAAAGCAAUUGCUUCAAUCUUCUAAAUCCUUCGCUUAAGUCUAUCCUUCACCAAAAACAAACUCUCAUGGAAAGCUCUUUGGAGACUCAUCCUUCACAGGACACCACUACACAUCAAAUGACCGGAGAGGCUUUUCUGCUAAAGAAGCUUCAAAGCAAGAUAACAAAGAGACUUCAUUUUGCCAUGUCUACCUCACCGUAAAACUUGACUUCAACCAGAUCAUUCAAGUAAAAGAUGCCAUAGCACGAAACGAUUAAACAUGAUUAUUUGAUUAAUAGUUUUGGGUGAAAAGUAAUAAUCUCAUUGUCUUGACUGGACAGUAAAUGUUGAUGCUAAAAACACAAGCAAGCUAAACUUUUCUUCUUUUUCAUUUUCAGCAAAAAUCGAUCAGAAAAAAUGUAUGCCUACUUAUAUAAUUUCACACCGAUAAGUAAGCAAUCUUGGACCUCUUAGUUUAGUGAUCUCCAUUUGGGACGCCAUAUGAAUUCAUAUUUUUAAAA